rnacentral:rRNA from 1 species
AUGGCUCAAACUUGCCUGCCACCUGGCUUUCGUUUCCAUCCAACUGAUGUUGAGCUUGUUUCUUACUACUUGAAAAGGAAGAUUAUGGGGAAGAAACUUUUUGUUGAAGCUAUCUCAGAGGUUGAGCUGUACAAAUUUGCUCCUUGGGACCUUCCUGAUAAAUCAUGUCUUCAGAGCAAAGAUCUUGAGUGGUUCUUCUUUUGCCCCCGUGACAAGAAGUAUCCUAAAGGGUCUAGGACGAACCGUGCCACACCAAAUGGUUAUUGGAAAACAAGUGGAAAAGACAGAACAAUUGAGCUGAACUCUCGCAUUGUUGGGUUGAAGAAAACAUUGAUUUUUCAUGAAGGCAAGGCACCGAAAGGCAACAGGACUGAUUGGGUGAUGUAUGAAUACAAAAUGGAAGAUGAAACUUUGGUGUCUGCUGGUUUCUCGAAGGAUGCUUAUGUACUCUGCAAGAUAUUUAAAAAGAGUGGGCUUGGCCCAAGGAUUGGUGAGCAAUAUGGGGCUCCUUUUGAUGAAAACGAAUGGGAGAAUUUAGAUGUUGGAUCUUCUAUCUUCUCUUUUGCACCGUCCUCAGGUGUAGAGGAUCCACAGGUCGAAAGUUCUGCCUUGGCUACUGCAAUAGUUAUUCACGAACCAUCCGCUCCUCAGCAAUCUGUUCAAUUUUCCGAACAUGUUAAUAUCUGUUCUGAUCAGGUCAAUGAUGCGCCUCCUGAAAUUGAUGGGAUAUUGUUGGACGAACUGACAAAGUUUUUGAAUGAUUCUCCCAACCAUGACAAUUCUGGUCUGCCUCCAAUGUCUGAGCGUGAGGCUCAAGCUUUUGAGAUAAAUACUGCUGAGCUCUAUGACCAAUUGGCAGUACUUGCCCAGUCAGGAGAUAUGCCUGCUGCAAAUUUCCCUGCUAGCAACGGGGAUGUUAUUGAAAACAAUUUGCAGCAAACAAACUCUGGGCUUGCUAUGGAUGAUGAUUAUAUAGGGUUGGAUGAUCUGUUUGCUCCUGGGGAAACUUUCUCCUAUGAUUUUUCUGGUGAAACAUUCUCCUAUGAUUUGCCUGGUGGAACCUUCUCCUAUUUGUCUGUGCCAAACAAUCAGUUUUCGCAGUACCCACUGGAUCAAUCAUCUAAUGGCCUUCACUACGGUGAUGGUGCCACUCAAUCAACUUUCUUAGCAAGUGGACCGCUUCCACCAUUGGAACCAAUGCCUAGCACUUUUGAUGACAUGCCUUCUGUUUCCAAUAAGCCUGCAAGCUCCUACUGCUUGAACCCAGCCAUGAAAGACCCAUUCUCAUAG